rnacentral:misc_RNA from 1 species
GAUUGUCCGACCAAGCUCCAAAAGAAGAGAACCUACAUGCUGCAUCGCAAGGCCUACUUGUGCUGAUUCUGUCUGAAUUCUGCCCCUCACAGAAGGAUCACCAGAAGCUCCCUCUUGUUCCAAGCAUUCUGCAAUAUGAGAUAAUGCAGUGAUCACAUGACCACCGAGAAGCUGUUCUGCAUGUCGCAGAAUAAUGCUCAAUGCUUGCAAUCCCUGUACAUUAGAAGGUAAUUCUACCCUUGGAACAUCUCUUGUGCUGUUUGAAGAUGCAUUUGGCUGGUACCCAUUUUGUGCCAGUGCUUGCUCCAUACGAGUCAUAAACUCAGAAAGUGUACUCAAAGAAUCAGGGAUUGGCAAACGAAGUGAAGGAAGAGGUACUGCUGCAGUAGGAAUUGGCAUGACUUGAGGAGGUGAUUGAAAUGGCUGACCAGGAAAUGCCUGCCCAGAAUGUGUUUGAUUUCCUGCUUGACUCUGACCACCAACAUUGCUUUGUAACCCAUCUGCUGUUUCAUUUCCUUGAGGAGUCUGGCCACUAACAUUUGACGUGGUAGAGGACUGCACUCCACCAAUGCCAUGAGUUGCAGUCUGACCACCAAUGCCGAAGGAGUUCAGCACUGCACCAAUAACCCGAGUGAGGUCUGGAACAAUGCCUUCACCUUGAUCCCCAACAUUAAAGGUCCCAAGAACUACACUGUGUGAUAUUUGCCCAACACGAUUUGGGGGGAUGCCAGCACUAGGAUCAUUUCCUCUGUUACCAGUAUUUGCAUUUGUGUCACCAGAGCUUGUAUCAGUUGAAGGUUGCAACUGUGCUGGCUGCCUUGCAACCAAGUGCAAGGUAUGCCA